UACGGGGGGAGCAAGCGUUGUUCGGAUUUACUGGGCGUAAAGGGCGCGUAGGCGGCCACCGCAAGUCGACUGUGAAAUCUCCGGGCUUAACCCGGAAAGGUCAGCCGAUACUGCGGGGCUAGAGUGCAGAAGGGGCAACUGGAAUUCUCGGUGUAGCGGUGAAAUGCGUAGAUAUCGAGAGGAACACCUGCGGCGAAGGCGGGUUGCGUGGGCUGACACUGACGCUGAUGCGCGAAAGCUAGGGGAGCGAACGGG
rnacentral:rRNA from 1 species